AGCGAACGCUGGCGGCAGGCUUAACACAUGCCAGUCGAGCGGGCAUCCUUGUGGUGUCAGCGGCAGACGGGUGAGUAACGCGUGGGAACGUGCCCUUCGGUUCGGAAUAACUCAGGGAAACUUGGGCUAAUACCAGAUACGUGCGAGAGCAGAAAGGUUUAUCUGCCGAAGGAUCGGCCCGCGUCUGAUUAGCUAGUUGGUGAGGUUAUGGCUCACCAAGGCGACGAUCAGUGGCUGGUCUGAGAGGAUGAUCAGCCACACUGGGACUGAGACACGGCCCAGACUCCUACGGGAGGCAGCAGUGGGGAAUAUUGGACAAUGGGGGCAACCCUGAUCCAGCCAUGCCGCGUGAGUGAUGACGGCCUUAGGGUUGUAAAGCUCUUUUCUCCGGGACGAUAAUGACGGUACCGGAGGAAUAAGCCCCGGCUAACUUCGUG
rnacentral:rRNA from 1 species